rnacentral:lncRNA from 1 species
UUUUUCCCCUCACAAAUUUCACGUUGUUUUACCUUAAAUCUUUAAUCUUUAUUUCGAUAUGUGUUGGUUGAGUUCAUCAGAUAAUGAUAUUCAUUAUAUGUGAUGAUUGCGAAUUGGGAAAUGUGGCUUGUAGAACAUGCCGUCUGAUGGGUUACAUCAGGACCGCGUGCGCACCGGUAAUGAUCAUGGAUAUAAGGUUAUUAUGGAUUUGUCUGCCCUGAUCGAGCAUUGCUCUCUGGGCUGAGUUCAGUUGAUUGCCGGAGUUAAGGUCCCUGAUCGAGCAAUGCUCUCUGGGCGCCGGCUUAUUUGGAAUUCAAGUGUUCAGGCUGGAGGUAAGGACCCUGAUCGAGCUUGCUCUCUGGGCGCCAGACCUGUUGGAUUAAGAGAGCCGAAAGGCUACUAGAAUUUGGAGUUUAGGGUUCUACCGAGCCACUCGUCCCGAAAAGAAAAGAAACAAAGAUAUUUUUAUUUAUUUAUUUAUUUCAUUAUGGUAUGAUGACAUCAUGAUUUCUGUUUAUGUUCAGGGUUUGAUAUAUGGACUCGAAUAAUUAAUAUUUCCUGUGCAGACUGCAAUAGUCUCUAGAUUAUUUGAUUUUAUCUCACUCUCGAGACUGACAGUCUCAGUUGUAAUUUUUUUCAGGUGAUAGUUAAAGACCUUCGCCAUCGCACAUUCGACAGUCCGACUUCUUCUUCUUCGGACUUUUGUAAUUAUCUUGUACUUAUAUACUUGUCAUUUUUACUCUAGAGUAUCCGCAG